CCCCCAGUCCAUCUAUAAGAGCAAUGACAUGGAUGGGUCUGGCUGUAUGAGCACACCAGAGAUGAGGAUGGCCUUGAGCAAAGCAGGUUUCAGCCUGAACAACACUCUCCACCAGGUUUGGCAGCUCGGUACGGAGAGGCUGACAUGACCAUUGACUUUGAUAACUUCGUGGUUGUGUCAUGCGCCUGGAGAUGAUGUUCAAAGUCUUCAAGAAGCUUGACAUGGAUGACACUGGAUUCAUUGAGUUGGAUUUCUACCAGUGGGUGUCAUUUUCCAUGAUCUAGAAGAUGGCAGCACAAGACCGUUCUCCCAAAGACCGUUCUCUCAGACCGUUCUCCCAGACCGUUCUCCCAGACCGUUUCUCCCAAAGACCGUUCUCUCAGACCGUUCUCCCCAAAGACCGUUCUCUCAGACCGU